GACAGAGGGUGCAAACGUUGUUCGGAAUUACUGGGCGUAAAGCGCAUGUAGGCGGCCCGGCAGGUCGGAUGUGAAAUCCCUCGGCUCAACCAAGGAAGUGCAUUCGAAACCGCCAGACUCGAGUCCCGGAGAGGACGAUGGAAUUCUCAGUGUAGAGGUGAAAUGCGUAGAUAUAGGAAGGAACACCAGUGGCGAAGGCGAUCACCUGGACUGAUACUGACACUGAGGUGCGAAAGCGUGGGGAGCAAACAGG
rnacentral:rRNA from 1 species